ACGGGUGAGUAACGCGUAGGUAUCUAUCCAUGGGUGGGGGAUAACGUUGGGAAACUGACGCUAAUACCGCAUGAAACCCGAGGGUCAAAGGCGCGAGUCGCCUAUGGAGGAGCCUGCGUCCGAUUAGCUAGUUGGUGGGGUAAAGGCCUACCAAGGCUGCGAUCGGUAGCUGGUCUGAGAGGAUGAUCAGCCACACUGGGACUGAGACACGGCCCAGACUCCUACGGGAGGCAGCAGUGGGGAAUAUUGGACAAUGGGGGCAACCCUGAUCCAGCAAUGCCGCGUGGAUGAAGAAGGUCUUCGGAUUGUAAAGUCCUUUCGGCGGGGACGAUGAUGACGGUACCCGCAGAAGAAGCCCCGGCUAACUUCGUGCCAGCAGCCGCGGUAAUACGAAGGGGGCUGGCGUUGCUCGGAAUGACUGGGCGUAAAGGGCGCUUAGGCGGCUUAGACAGUCAGGCGUGAAAUUCCCGGGCUUAACCUGGGGGCUGCGCUUGAUACAUCUGGGCUUGAGUGGGGAAGAGGGUCGUGGAAUUCCCAGUGUAGAGGUGAAAUUCGUAGA
rnacentral:rRNA from 1 species